GGAACAGAUCCAGCGUUGCUGGAUGCUGACGAGCGGCGGACGGGUGAGUAAUGCAUAGGAAUCUACCCGGUAGUGGGGGAUAACCUGGGGAAACCCAGGCUAAUACCGCAUACGUCCUACGGGAGAAAGGGGGCUUUGGCUCCCGCUAUCGGAUGAGCCUAUGCCGGAUUAGCUGGUUGGUGAGGUAAUGGCUCACCAAGGCGACGAUCCGUAGCUGGUCUGAGAGGAUGAUCAGCCACAUCGGGACUGAGACACGGCCCGAACUCCUACGGGAGGCAGCAGUGGGGAAUAUUGGACAAUGGGGGCAACCCUGAUCCAGCCAUGCCGCGUGUGUGAAGAAGGCCCUCGGGUUGUAAAGCACUUUCAGCGAGGAAGAACGCCUAUCGGUUAAUACCCGGUAGGAAAGACAUCACUCGCAGAAGAAGCACCGGCUAACUCCGUGCCAGCAGCCGCGGUAAUACGGAGGGUGCAAGCGUUAAUCGGAAUUACUGGGCGUAAAGCGCGCGUAGGUGGCUUGAUAAGCCGGUUGUGAAAGCCCCGGGCUCAACCUGGGAACGGCAUCCGGAACUAUCAGGCUAGAGUGCAGGAGAGGAAGGUAGAAUUCCCGGUGUAGCGGUGAAAUGCGUAGAGAUCGGGAGGAAUACCAGUGGCGAAGGCGGCCUUCUGGACUGACACUGACACUGAGGUGCGAAAGCGUGGGU
rnacentral:rRNA from 1 species